rnacentral:lncRNA from 1 species
AGAUGUAGAGGACACUUUCAGGGGACUGCAUUUUCUCUUUUUGUUUCACUUUUGUACUUGCUGGACAGACUGCUGCCACGCCAGCUGGCUAGGUUGCUCUGGCUCUGAGUCUUGUAGUUUAGAAGGUUCCAGGGAUUCCCAGAGGAAAAAGAGUCAGAAGAUGCUGAAGCCCCCUUUCCUGUAAUGACUGCCCUCUGAGCUCAGACUCACCUAUCAGUUUCAUGACCUGCGGCCAGCAGAGAGGGCUGCUUGGUGCCCUGUGAUGGUAGAGAUGGGAAUGAUGGAGAGAUGGAGAGAUGGAGAGAUGGAGAGAUGAUGGAGAGAUGGAGAGAUGGAGAGAUGGAGAGAUGAUGGAGAGAUGGAGAGAUGGAGAGAUGGAGAGAUGGAGAGAUGGAGAGAUGAUGGAGAGAUGGAGAGACGGAGAGACGGAGAGACGGAGAGCCGGAGAGACGGAGAGAUGGAGAGAUGGAGAGAUGGAGAGAUGGAGAGACGGAGAGAUGAUGGAGAGAUGGAGAGAUGAUGGAGAGAUGGAGAGACGGAGAGACGGAGAGACGGAGAGAUGGAGAGAUGGAGAGAUGGAGAGAUGGAGAGAUGGAGAGAGAGAGUGACGGGAGUGACGGAAUUCAUGAAGUGGGGGAGGUGAUGGAGGUGAUGGCGCAGGCCAAAGUGGAUGAAUACCCACAUCUGGGAUGACAAUCGGAAGUCUCAGUGUGCAGAUCACUGCGCAAGUGCAAAUGAGAAGAGCAACAGGCAUCUUGGUAGUGGAGCGGCAGGGAAGUAGCCGUAGAAAUUUCCUCCCAGGAGAGAUUAAACCCCGAGCUGUGCAAGGAUGAAGCCGGGUUGCCAUAUGGGAAGCAUCUGCCUCAACAUGCUUAUCUGUCCUAGGAGCAUAAUAAUUGCAUCUAACCUGUAAUCAGGGACAGCGUCACUGGUGGAACAGCACCAAGCCAAGUCUCUUCUCUGGCACAGACACUCUGCUGUGCCGUCAGCCUGCUCUGCCCUCAAUGGAAGGUGUGGGUAAUUAAGCCUUGGAAGACACCGUUCCAGAUGACCGCACAGCUCGAGAGAGUUUUCUGUUUGACCCUCCCUGCACUGCCUCUACACAGAGAAUAAAGUUGCAGAGGUUUAAGCUUCAGACAUUUCCUGAGUGUCAUAGUUUUGGUUCUGUUGGUAUAACAAACACCUUGACAAAAAGUCACCUGGAGGAGAAAAGGUUUAUUUAGCGUACAAUUCCGGGUUACAGCCCAUCAUUUUGGGAAUAUUAAGGCAAGAUAUCAAGCAACUGGUUACAUUUCGUGAACAGUCAAGAGUGAAGAGAGAAGGAUUGCAUUGCUCCUUGUUUGCUGGCUCUUAGUUUCUCCCCUUUUCUACUGUUCAGGAGUAGGUGCUACCCACACUGGGCUGGGACUACCUCCAUCAAUUAAUCAAUACAGUCUCCCACAGACAUGCCGGCAGCCCAAUCAGAUGAAGACAUUUUCUAAUUAAGAAUCUUCCCAGGUGACUGUAGAUUGAGUCAAGUCGACAGUUAAAACUAACCAGCAUGCUGACCUACUUCUCACUGAAGCAGAAGCUGGCCCACCCUGAAAAAUAAACCCGAUACUUAAGUCUAAGCCCAUUUAUAAUGUGGAAAUAGUGACUAGGUUAGGUGUCUCAAGACAAUCUCAAGAGCAGAGUGGCUGGAUUUCUGCGUGGCUUUCCAUGGACAACUUGAGAUUGCUUCUGGGCCCGUUGAGGUCAUGGGUGAUAGAUGAUGAAAAUGUUACACGGAUUCUAAGCAUGUACUCUUAAGAGUUGAAAGGGUUGAUUAGCAUAUCUGCUGAGGCUUAGCAGUGGAUGUUGAGAAAAUAAUCCCUGCCCUGUGUCAUUCUGCACUUGAACAAUGGCUUGGUAGAUGACGGAGAUACACCUGUGGGUGCCCUGGAGUAAUGGGAAACUGUCUUGACUGACAGAUUCAGACCACAGACAAAUCCCAAGGGCCAGAAAGCAGACUUAGAAUGACAAGAUGGGAGAUAAGCAUUCCACAUGAAUAUGAAUCUGGUUGAACCGCAGAGCCACAGAGACGAGUGGUGAGGUUCAAGAGCAUUAUGAAAACAGGUCCAAGUAGCCCAGUGUCACUCAAGAAUGGAGGAGAAAGAUCAAUCCACCUGGCAGGAAAUAAGGUUGGAAGGUGACCUGGCAUUUGAGUUCUAUGACCUCAGGCAGCUGGAAGGGACAUGGCCAUUUGUUAAGUGUGAGUGGCUGGUACAUGGACUCACUCCUUUAAUCCUCACAUGAACGAUAUGAGGUAGGUUUAGCUAGGCUGACUUUUCACAUGAAGAAACCAAGGCUUAGGGUAAGUUAUACAGUUUUCCUACUGACCCCUUCACUUUCUUGACAGUGUGUGUGUGUGUGUGUGUGUGUGUGUGUGUGUGUGUGUGUAUUGGAAAUGUCAAAAAUACUAUAACCGUUGAGCUAAGGGAGCCAGGUGGAGGAUGCGAUGAGUCUGAGAGAGAGAGAAGGGAAGCCACGGCCAUAGUUAGCCUUACCUGAAGGCGAUUCCACGUCUUUAUACUGUGAAACCAUGAGCCAAUUUGAGCGGAGACUUCUAGACUAACUCUUGAUGUCUUUGUGUUACUGGGAGCCAUCAUAAUUUGCAGUUUUCUAAGAUAAAAGGUGAUGACCUGGGAGCUUAAGCCACAGACAUUUAUUUCUUAUCAGUUCUGGGAAACUCAGGCCAAGGUGCUGUCUAUGUUGGUUUUGAGUGAGGGAGCUCUUCUAGCUCUGUCUUCACAUGGUAUUUCCACGUGUCUGUGUUUCUGUCUCUGUCUCUCUCUUCCUCUCUCUGUCGCUAUCUCUGUCUGUCUGUCUCUCCCUCUUGUGGGGAGAGGUUGAAGAUAGAGAAAGGGAGGUAGAGAGAGAGAGAGAGAGAGAGAGAGAGAGAGAGAGAGAGAGAGACAGGAAGGCUUAGCUAUGUAGUCCAGGCUUCAAAAUCAGAGUGAUCCCCUGCCUUCCCCAAUGUUGGAACUGCAGGUGUGAGCCAGCACUUCUUAGCGCCUCUCCUCAGCAUGCUAUUUCUCCUGUUUCUUCCACCAGUCCCCAUGGAAUGCCCCUGUGACCCUGUCCACCAAUCUCCUUGGGGAGCCCUGAGCAACCUUCUGCCUCUUCAGCAUCAUUCUUCCUCCUCCCUACAAGCCUUGGCUGUGCCGAAUCCCUCUGGCUCCCUGGAGACACAAUGUCCUCAUUUUUUGUGUAAACCAUCUCUCCCUCUCUGAUAGUUCAGCUGUGUCCUUCCCUAGGGUGCCUUCCUGAUCCACCCCAUUUGGUUCGGUGCUUUUCACAAACCCCUCAAACGCUCUAUGUGUAUUCUGCCCUUUGUUAUAAGAUGCUGUUGAUUGUUUAUGUGCCUGGAUUUCCUACUGAUGCUCGUGUUCCCCAGAGAAGGCUCUAAAUCUUAGUUUUUGUAAUUCCUGUGCUUAACACAUGGGAAGUAUUUGAUAAAAGCCUAGGCUACAGUCAGACCACCCGGGCUUAAGUUCCAGGUAUAAUAUUUAGGAGUCUCAUGGCUUAGGGUACGUCAUUAUCCUCUCUGGGCUUCUAUGUUAUGGAAAGCUCUUAGGAUCAUGACCAGCACAUGGCUGACACUUAACAAUCAUUCGUUUUUGCUACUAGCCGAGCGUGCAACAUGUUAUCUGCAAGGUUCUAGCAUUUUACAUGCAGGUUUCAUUUUUGACUAAUCAGACAGGUGGGGAUUUGUACUCUCACUGUUAACAGAAAACAGAGGCCAGGGAGUUUUUAUUGAUGCUUAUAUUGGAGCUAGUGAGAGUCAGAACUAGGACUCAAAACAGAUCCACCUGGCCCAGGGCUCCUUUUUUGGCCAACUCGUCUCAAAAGCCAUCUAAGAAUAUCUUAUUUACAAUGAUCUACACUCCCUUAAAGAUCGACUUGGGGUCUGGGGAGGAUUUUGGAUGAAGGGAUUUUGGAUGAAAACCCAUAGAUCCUUUAGAAAUGCUAAACCCAAGCUCUUCAGUGUUGGUAUCGGAACUUGAAUCUUCAUGAAGACUGGUUGUUUUCAGUGUUGGCCUAUGCUCUCAGAGACUGACUCCAUUCUAGGCUUGAGCUUAAAAGACGAGGAUUUGAUGUAUUAAAUUGGCCGGUAGGGUGUUCCUUCCUGGGUAACUGAAGACCCUAAGUCUAAAGUGACUCCUGGAUGUUUGUCCAUCACCACUGUGUACACAAAUGGUACUGACUGACUCAGAGGUGCUACAAAUACACCACAAAUUCAAAAUUACUGGAGAUUCAGAUGCUGGUGGAAGUUUCUCGUAGCUUUCCUAAGACACAGACAGCAUCUUACAAUAGAAUAAAUCCAGCAGCAACAAUGAACUAGCACAGUAAUAAGGUGAUGGUGACCUAUGUUUCUUCCACUGGAUUUUGUUUUUGAGACAGGGUUUCUCUGUGGCUUUGGAGCCUGUCCUGGAACUCUGUAGACCAGUCUGGCCUUGAAUUCACAGAGAUCCACCUGCCUCUGCCUCCUGAGAGCUGGGAUUAAAGGAGUGAGUCACCACUGCCCAGCCUUCCAUUAGAAUUUAAUGCUCCCAUGUUCCCUCUCUGUCAUCCUUCUGUGUUUGAUAAGGCAGAUGACAUCAUGCUCAGGAGUGGGGUUGAGAGUCAGGAGCCAGAUGAGUGUGGUGGUUCAUGUCAGCAAUCCCAGCAUUCGGGAAGAAGAGGGAGGAGGAUGAAGAGAUAGAGGGAAGCCUGGGCUACACAAUGAGCCACAGCUUCAAAGAGAAAAAGUCAGGAGCCAAAGGCUAGCCACCCAAUCGUAGCUGGGUGUGUCUCUGUUUCCCUGGGCUCUGGGACUGGGACUGGAGGCUUGCUGAAUGUAAACACAGGUUUAAACAGUGAGCUCAGAGGUGGAGUGAGCAAUUCUAGAACAUAAACAAACCAGUUCAUAAUACACAAUCAAGUAGCCCUCCAAAAAUCAGCAAGAAAACAAACCUUGAGUUUGUGGAUAGAGCAACAGGUAAUUGUCCCGUUCAGAGAAAUCUGGGGCUACUUAGUCCCAGUAUAAGAGCACAUGUUGUUUGGUUUAAGGCUCUUGGAAGGUUUAUUGUUUUCCCCUCUUGGCCAAAUGAUAGACUUAGGGGAUUUUUAAAACAACUUUACUGGAGAUUUCUGGGAAAAUCCUCAAAUGAGUGGGGCCUGAGAUCCCCACAAACACAUUAUUUUUUCUUGUGGACCUUAGAUGAGAUGAAAGAUCAUGUCUGUGGUGUAAUCUCAAAGCCUACUUCCUGAAGACUGCUUAAAAUGUACCUGCUCCAGGGCCAAUGAGUGAGUACCAGGCUGGGAGCCCUUGCCGAUGAAUUGCUCUGUAGGUUGGCUUGCUGUGUUUCCAUCGGUAGACCCACAGAAAACUCUCCCACUGUUUCCUCUGUGAAACAAAAGAAAAUUGUGAUGAGAUGUUCCAUGUGUGCUCCAGGCAAGUGAUUAAAUGGAAUGAGGUCUGUCUUCUCCAUCUCUCUAACCUCUACCAACUGCCUUUGUAUAUUAAGUAGCGCCUGCAUGUCCUCUCUGCCAGGUGCAGGUGAAUCCCACCUUGGGCAUCUGGGCUAGCUGAGAACCAGGGAUUUCUGGGCUUAGACCCAGAGACAGGUCACAUGGGUGCUCACAGGGAUUCCUUCUUCAUCAAGAGGCCUCAAGCAGCGUGACAGUCGUGAAGCACUGACUUCGAGAGGGACAAAGAGCACACAGAUGAGAUGGGAAUGCGACACUGGGAGUGAACUGAGGAGUCAUUGUCACACACAUGCAGCAACUGGAGUGGCCCCUGUACAUGGCUGUCGUCUCGCUCCCCCAUCAAUUCACCAAUGGGUAAAAAGUCGGGACCUCAGGACAUUGAGACCAUAGCUUUAAACGUCGGGCUUUAACAAGGUUGGACUUCCUUAAUUUUUAUCAACCUCUUAGCACGUAUCCCGUGGAGGCGGACACGCACUGGACUCUUUACGAGAAGAAAAAAGCGCUUGUGUUGUUGGAGCUUUUCUCUUGUCCUGCCGCCCUCGAGCCCCAAAUAAGCACACAGACGCUAUAUUAAUUUCCAUACUGUUGGCUGAUGGCUAGCGCUCCUUAUUGGCUAGCUCUGUCUUAUUUAUUAACCCAUUUCUAUUCAUCUAUGUAUGUCCACGUGGUCUUAUCUUACCAGAGAACGCCUGGUGUGUCCUUUCUUCUGGUCCAUACAUGGCGACUGUUCUCCUCAUCUCCUAGUCUGCCUAUCUUCCUGCCUCUGCUGGCUAUAGGCCAAACAGUGUUUUAUUCAUCAACCAAUAAGAGAACAUAUAUACAGAAGGUCAUCCCCCAUCAUGCAUGGGGAUCCCAAAGAAGGGCUCUGCAGGAGGAUGGAGAUGCUGAUGCUGCAGAGCUGUGUGUUGCAGGACUUAGGUUCUCUUCAAUGUAACCCGCACAGCCUGCUACCUCACAUACCACGUGUGCCCCAGAUUGGGAAGUUUCGGCUAAGACAGAGCAAUCAAGGCUCACCAUGGAUCCUGACGUCAAACUCCCAGCAGAUGACACACCCUGUUCCAACAACGGCUCUGGUGACAUUUCCUGAGGAAUAACAGUGACACAAAAUCCAGCAUAGAAACCAAGAAAGGUCAUUCGACCGCUCCCUGUCCUUUGGAAUUCUGCCCUUUGACUUUUCCUUCAGCGACACUGACAGAUUCCCUCCCCGUUUCUGUGUCAUUUUUUGGCAUCAUAUCAUAAAAAGAAAUGGUGACAAUUCCAUUUUAAGCACCUUUGUUGACUCCCCACACACAAUCUAGUCCAUUCUCUCUGAAUCUCCUAAUCGUACCAUGUGUAUUAAAACACCGGUGUCAAGUUUUCAAGUAAGGAAACCGAGGCACAGUGAGCCUGUGUGACAGAUCUGGUGCUAGUGCCAUGGCUACAAGACACUUUCCUCACACUGCACUGUGCCAGUCAUGACCACGACUGCGAGAGACGGUGUUUUAAAACAUCCCCAGCUGUUCUGGUCCAGAUGGCCUGUAUGGUUCGCAUUGGUGAUCUCUGGCAUAGCAGAGAAAGCACAGAAUUGGCCGCUCUGUCUCAUUACCAGUGACCUGAAAUGCAGAAGUUGUCGAGGUUAGAAACCACCCUGUGGCCACCCCCGAGGCCACCGCUUUGCCACGUCAGCCUUUGAGUCACCAGACAAGUGAAACCCAGGAAGACCACAGGGUCGCCCCAGCAUCCCUUCCAAGCCCAUGUGUUUCUCUGUGGUCUAUGGCAGGGAGGCUUCUGCUCGCCUCGGCCUUCAGUUGCCUGCCUGUGAUGUUCUCUUAUUCUUUCUUCUCUAGAUGGCCAAAUACAAGUCUGAUCAUGUUCAAACAUCUGCUUUAAGAGACUCUCCUACUCCUCCCAGGACUCCUCACCAGCAGGCCUGUAUCUUGCCACUUAUCUGACCCCAUGGAGCAACAAAUGUCACUGUUGUAACACAAGCUCUGUGGCUUAGCCAUCUUCAUCUUCUAUCAGACUGUGAAACUCGAGGGUUGAGACCAUGUCUUACCUCCCACAUAGACUGAACGCUUGGGAUGUGGGGUGUGAGGUGAUAUAUGGUUUAUGAUUUCAUAAAGCUUGCCUGGGGAAUCAGAAUGCAAAGCCAGGCACAUUAGUUAGCCAUAGAAGCUGGGCACUGGUGGCACACGCCUUUAAUCCCAGGACCCAGGAGAGAGAGGCAGAUGGAUCUCUCUGAGUUCAAGACCACCCUGGGCUACUGAGAGUGAAUCAGUCAAAAAGAGAAAGCUCUCACACCUGUAACCCCACUACUAGAGACAAUGUAAGGAAAUGCAAAGGGUCUCAUGUGAGAUUCAGUUUUCAGUCACAGGGAAGACAGGAUCUUCAUUUCAGCCUUGGUAGAGGUAAGAGCUACUGGCUGGCUGCUUUGCUUCUCUGAUCUUCAGCUGGAACCCCAACAUCUGUCUCCGGGUUUUUAUUAUUCAUGCUACAGGAUGCGCACUUGGAAGUCACCAGAGUGCUGGAGCCACGGGCUCCAAACCCAGCACAAGCCAGCAUGUUCUCCACUCAUUUCUAAACAUGAGCAGACUCCAGACUGCUGUCUUCAUACAGGAUGGAAAAUGAGAGAGAGAGAGAGGGAGGAGAGAGAGAGGAGAGAAUAUGCCUGGAGGGCCACUAAGCAGCAGAAGAGGACACCAGUGUGGCUGCAGACAGUGCAGGACUUCAGAUGGGUACUUAUGGAGCUUGAAGAUUAAGAGAUGAAAAAACACAAUCCACACUGCCAGAGGAGCUACGAAACAAGGAGGACCCCAAGAGAAGAUUGCAUAGUCCCUUGAAGAAGGGGAUGGGGAUAAGAACCCCUGACCAAAUUAGAGCCCCGGGGCAGGGAGAGGAAGGAGAGUCUUCAUCCAGUUGCUGUCUGAAGCAGAAGCAGACACCCAUAGUUAAACACUGAACUAUACUACUGGAAUUCAGUUGUGGAGAGGGAGGAGGGUUGAGCAAAGGAGCCAAGACAGGGAUGGAGAGACCUGCAGAAACAGUGGACCUGACCUACUUAUAGCAUGGAGACCCUAGUCAUAAAGCUGGGGAAACAGCAUUGGACCAAACCAAACCCUCUGAAUGUGGAUACCAGCUAGGAGCCCAAGACAGUCUAUGGGACCUCUGACAGUGGAGCCAGUCCUUAUCCCUAGAGCACAAAUGGACUUUUGGAGCCCAUUCCCUGUGGAAGGAAACUAUUGCAGCCCAGAUACGUGAAAGAGAGCCUAGGCCCUCCCCCAAAUGAUAUGAUGGACUUUGAAGGUCCUUGGUGGAGGACCUCACUAUCCCUGGGGAGGAGUCGGGAUGGGGGCGU